UUAAAUAAAUAUUUCGUUUAUGCAAAUACAAGAGACAGACAAAAAGGGUUAAAAAUCUGAAAAAGCUUGCGUCCUUGUAUUACUUCAUUAAUUAAAAGCCAAUCAGAACAGAGCUAUCAGGUGUAAGAAAUUGAGAGCCACAAGAAUUAGUAACAGUAUUUGGAAGAAUCAAGUUGAUAUUUUCUCUAUUGCAGUGGCGAUGUUUGGGCUGCCUUGAGGGCGAAUUCCGCGGUUUCCUGUCCUAGACCCGGAGGCAUCACGCCCUAAGUGGAGCGGAGAGACUCCAGCCCAAGCUGCCAUUAACCGCGUCCAGCCGGGAAGAAAAAAGACACCGAAUGCCCCGAGCCCAGCUGCCUCGCCUGCCGUGCCCACUAUCCUCUGCCUUGCCGUAGGAAGGAGGGACGAGCCAUCGGGCCUCCGUCUGCUGCUGGAACUGCGCCAUGAAGCUCCUGCCUUCCUGACGCCAUAUUGUCUCUUUGUUCCAGUGGGGUGGUGAGGUCUAGCAGUUUGGUUUCUAGCAGUUAUUUACUUUUUUUCCCUACCUCUUGGCAUCCUGUUUGUUAAUAAACGAUGGGGGUUUUUUAACUUUC